rnacentral:rRNA from 1 species
ACGUAGGUGACGAGCGUUGUUCGGAAUUAUUGGGCGUAAAGGGUUCGUAGGAUGUUUAUUAAGAUUGGUGUGAAAUACCAAGGCUCAACCUUGGAACUGCAUUGAUUACUGAUGAACUAGAGUAUCGUAGAGGAAAGCGGAAUUCCAGGUGUAGCGGUGGAAUGCGUAGAUAUCGGGGAGAAGACCGAAAGCGAAGGGAGCAAACUGGGCGAUAACCCACUCUGAGUAACGAAAGCGUGGGUAGCAAAAAG